rnacentral:rRNA from 1 species
GAUUCGCACAAUUGGUCAUCACGCUUGGUUAAAAAGCCAGUGGCGCGAAGCUACCAUGCACUGGAUUAUGACUGAACACCUCUAAGUCAGGAUCCGGGCUAGAAGCGAUGCAUGCACCAGUCGUCCGCUUGCCGACCCGCAGUAGAGGCCGUCCGGCCUCCAAAGGCAAGUGUCGUUGGUGAAGCCCGCGUGGCGGAUGAGCCGUGGGGGCCGCCUUGAAGUACAAUUCCUAUCUCAAGCGGUGGGUAGAAUCCCUUGCAGACGACUUAAAUACGUGACGGGAUAUUGUUAGUGGCAAAGCGGCCUUGCUGCCACGAUCCACUAAGAUUCAGCCCUGCGU